GAGACAUCAAAAAGCAACCUGUAAUAUAAAACAAAAAAUAUAUAAUACCAAAGACUGCACACGAGCCGAAGCCGGGUUAUUCAGCUAGUUGUUAUAUAUUCAACUUGUGUUUUCUACCAGAAAUACAACUUUGAUGCAAAAUAUCAUGAACUCUAUUUCGUUCGUUUUAACAAAGAGCCACAAAUAACCUUAGUCAUUUUUUUAUGUCAAAAGUAUUUUCAUCACACUUAGGGAAAGCAGAAAAAGACGAAAUAAACAAUUUUAUCCAAUUUACGGCACCACGUUAAAUUUUAAUGUUUCGG